AACGAAAUCAUCUCUUGUCUCAGACAAAAUUGCCGCCUUGCUUGACCAACUGAGGUACUAUCCCGGUUAAAAGGGGAAAAAUGGGGAAGUAAGGCAAGAUAAAGGUCAAAUUGUAAACGUGUUUCUCUUUUCUUGGAGUAAACCACAAAUUUGAAGAGUCGGAGACUGUGCAGUCUUCACUUCGGCUUGGCAUUCGUUUGAAAAGGAAUCAAAUGAAACAUGUACUGAACAAAGAACUGAUUCGCUUCAUAGUGCCUUAGGUGGGCUUCAAGAAAUGAUGUCUUUUAGAGCUGAUAUUUUAAAGAGGAACAGACAUAACAAUUGAGUUGAAGAUGACAAUAUACUCCUAGGACAAUAAAUAGCUGAGAAAAUUAUCGAAGGGUCAGCGAAAAAGUAAAUAAGAAAAACAAUUUACAAAAGGAAGAAAAUUAUGGAUAAAAGUUUCUGAAUCCUGAAAAUGACGAAGUGAAGAGAGCGAUGCACAUACUGCCCUCUAUAAUCCAUGUCAAAAAUCAAGUAAAAAAAUAUGCCCGUUAAACGUCACAAAUUAAAAUUGAAGCGAAGGAAACAAAACCCCAUCGAAAUCUUAAGAAUCACUACUGAGGAUUACUGGAUGGAAACGUAACAAACAGCGACUUUAGAGUUAUUGGAAACACCUUCAAGGUUUAUCAGAGCAAAAAGCAAUCACCAAUUUUUUAGAGAAUGAAAAAUCAGAAAAUCCACUCUAAUUAGGCUAAAAAGAUCCAGACUCUACAGACUAAGAUGGAAUAAGUACCUGAAACACACUGAAAAGAAAACGAGAAAUAGUAUCUGAAACAAGUUGAAAGAAAUAAGGCAAAAAUCCAGAGUCAAGCAUCAAUAAUGAUUCUAGAAGAGCAAGUUCCUCACCUCCUGACUCUGGAUUUUUCUCCCUCUGCCUCAAAGAGUUUAAUAGAAUUUGUGUGGCGCCAUCUAUUAGUGAAGUCUGUAGAAUUUUUAUUUGCGAUCGCUCUUUCUGCCUCAAAUGCAGCAAAAGGUAAGUUAUGUACAGGCUUUGGAGAUACUUAAAAGAACAUACAACUGAACUCUUGCUUAGUAACAACCCUUAUAUUAAGGAAAUAUAUAUAUGGAUUGGAAAACGAAACUUUAGAUAUUGAGUGCCAACUUGAAGACAUCAGAUUAUAAGCCAAACAAGUGUUGACCAGCUUGGAGGCGAAAAAGGUUUUAUGAUACAAUUAGAAUUAAUACAAGCAAACUGAAACCCCAACUGAAGUGCGACAGAAUGAAGAUACGGAAACAAAGAACAUUUUACUAAGUUUUCCUCCAGGCAGAGCUUAAAUAGAACAUUUUAUUCUCUUCUCAGCUGAAAAAGAAUUAGGAAUACUUUUUGAAGUAUGAGGGUUGAGAGAAACUGUGGUGAAGAUCACUGGCACACCCAAGAAACUUUCAAAGAUCCAUCUACACCAACUGCAUGAUAUCAAAGCACCAGAAAAAGAAGAAAAAAAUAUAGCACAAGGGCUGUAUUCCCCGGGCAGUGUAGAUCGAAGAAUGCUACCCACGAAGCUUUUGUAAAGAGCAGUCAUAUAUGAAUGCAAAGUAUGAAAUCUCCCUGCUAGAGGGAUUGAACACUGCUGCCUAUUCAUAAUUUUGCUUGCUAUUCACACCUUAAUAUUAAAAAGAAAAAUAUCAACAAAAAAAAUGGAGGGAAAAAUAUCGAUAAAAGAAAUCCGCGGUGAACUUUUUAUAAGCAUUUUUUAAACCAAUUUUGUCUGCUUUCCAA